GGUUGACCUCGGAUCAGGUAGGGAUACCCGCUGAACUUAAGCAUAUCAAUAAGCGGAGGAAAAGAAACCAACAGGGAUUGCCUCAGUAACGGCGAGUGAAGCGGCAAGAGCUCAAAUUUGAAAGCUGGCCCCUUCGGGGUCCGCGUUGUAAUUUGCAGAGGAUGCUUCGGGUGCAGCCCCCGUCUAAGUGCCCUGGAACGGGCCGUCAUAGAGGGUGAGAAUCCCGUCUGGGACGGGGUGUCUGCGUCCGUGUGAAGCUCCUUCGACGAGUCGAGUUGUUUGGGAAUGCAGCUCUAAAUGGGUGGUAAAUUUCAUCUAAAGCUAAAUACUGGCCGGAGACCGAUAGCGCACAAGUAGAGUGAUCGAAAGAUGAAAAGCACUUUGAAAAGAGAGUUAAACAGCACGUGAAAUUGUUGAAAGGGAAGCGUUUGCGACCAGACUCGCCCGCGGGGUUCAGCCGGCAUUCGUGCCGGUGUACUUCCCCGUGGGCGGGCCAGCGUCGGUUUGGGCGGCCGGUCAAAGGCCCUCGGAAUGUAUCACCUCUCGGGGUGUCUUAUAGCCGAGGGUGCAAUGCGGCCUGCCCGGACCGAGGAACGCGCUUCGGCUCGGACGCUGGCGUAAUGGUCGUAAAUGACC
rnacentral:rRNA from 1 species